AUGAAUUAUGCUUAUGGAGAUGAACUUGCUAUAGUUCCUUAUGUUAAACAUGAAAUUGUUGCUAUUGCACCCACGCAUGAUAGUCCUAUUAUCUUUUUGAAUUCUCCCUACUACACUUUAUCGGAGAAGUUUGUGCUUAUUAAGGAUUAUAUUGAUGGGUUGCCUUUUACCAUUGCACAUGAUGAUUUUGAUGAAUGUAAUAUGCAUGUGCUUGCUGCUCCUACUUGCAAUUAUUAUGAGAGAGGAACUAUAUCUCCACCUCUCUAUGUUACCAAUAUGAUAAAAUUGCAAGAAACUACUUAUACUAUGCAUUGGCCUUUACUAUGUGUGCAUGAAUUGUUCUUUUAUGACAUGCCAAUGCAUAGGAAGAAAGUUAGACUUCGUCAUUGCUUGAUAUAUGUUACUUUGUGCUCACUACUAAAUUACAGAUCAUUGUUAAUUAAAAUUGGCUUUGAUAUACCUUGGGAUCCGGGUGGAUCCAUUACUUGA
rnacentral:rRNA from 1 species